rnacentral:rRNA from 1 species
UACGUAGGCAGCAAGCGUUGUUCGGAAUUACUGGGCGUAAAGAGUGUGUAGGCGGUGCUCUAAGUUCGGUGUGAAAUCUCCCGCUUAACUGGGAGGGUGCGCCGGAAACUGGAGUGCUCGAGCGUGGGAGAGGAAAGCGGAAUUCCUGGUGUAGCGGUGAAAUGCGUAGAUAUCAGGAGGAACACCUGCGGUGUAGACGGCUUUUCUGGACCAUUGCUGACGCUGAGACACGAAA